GACGAACGCUGGCGGCGUGCUUAACACAUGCAAGUCGAACGGAAAGGCCCUGCUUGCAGGGUGCUCGAGUGGCGAACGGGUGAGUAACACGUGGGUGAUCUGCCCCUUACUUUGGGAUAAGCCUGGGAAACUGGGUCUAAUACUGGAUAGGACCAUGCUGUAGGUGGUGUGGUGGAAAGAUUAGUUUCGGUAAGGGAUGAGCUCGCGGCCUAUCAGCUUGUUGGUGGGGUAAUGGCCUACCAAGGCGUCGACGGGUAGCCGGCCUGAGAGGGUGGACGGCCACAUUGGGACUGAGAUACGGCCCAGACUCCUACGGGAGGCAGCAGUGGGGAAUAUUGCACAAUGGGCGCAAGCCUGAUGCAGCGACGCCGCGUGGGGGAUGACGGCCUUCGGGUUGUAAACUCCUUUCAGCCAUGACGAAGCCCUUGUGGUGACGUUAGUGGUAGAAGAAGCACCGGCUAACUACGUG
rnacentral:rRNA from 1 species